AAAAAAUUCCCAACCGAGAAAACCUCCUUCCCUCUAUCUCUCUCUUCUGUGGUUCAAAAAACAGAAAAGAAAAGGGAAAUGGCGUUAUCCUACACCACAACAAUUGCCUCUUCACUACUUCCUGCAGCAACUCCUUCACUUCCAAAUAAAAAGAGUUUUUGGAUAGAGAAGGAAGCCCUUUUCGGAAUUGCAAGUAAAUUAACAGUACCCAGAAAUGGAAGGAGUUCUUCUGUUGAAUUCGAUGUGCCAUUUCCUCGUGAUUAUGAGGAGCUUCUUGAUCAAGCCAAAAAAGCAACUGAAUUGGCUUGGGAAGAUAACAAACAGCUGAUGGAGAUUGAAUUCCCAACAGCCGGACUCGAAUCUGUACCGGGUGACGGUGAAGGAGGAAUAGAGAUGACUGGAAGCAUGCAGUUAAUUCGUGAAUUCUGUGAUCGUUUUGUAAGUCCAGAAAAGGCUACAAGGACCAGAAUUUUCUUUCCAGAGGCUAAUGAAGUUAAUUUUGCAAGACAAUCAGCAUUUGAAGGAUCUUCGCUUAAGUUGGACUAUUUGACAAAGCCAUCUUUUUUCGAGGAUUUUGGUUUUGUUGAAAAAGUCAAAAUGACAGACCGUGUGAAGCCAGAGGAUGAACUGUUCCUAGUUGCCUAUCCAUAUUUCAAUGUUAAUGAAAUGCUUGUGGUGGAAGAGCUUUACAAAGAAGCUGUUGUGGAAACAGCCCGAAAACUGAUUAUAUUCAAUGGAGAACUUGACCGCAUAAGAUCUGGUUAUUAUCCAUCCUUUUUCUAUCCUAAGCUUGCCUCUCUUUUGAAGACACUCUUCCCAUUGAUGGAGACUGUAUAUUACGUUCACAAUUUUAAAGGGCGCAAUGGAGGAACCCUUUUCAGGUGCUACCCAGGUCCCUGGAAAGUCCUACGAAAAGUUAGGAAUGCCUAUACAUGUUUGCAUCAACAGGAAGCUAUGCCCUCCCUUAAAGAAGUUGCCCUGGAUAUUCUGCCGUCAGUUUGAGAAUUUCGCUGUCCAUGUUGCAGAUUUAUACGUCCAAGGUAUAUAUUCAAGACUCUAGCCUCAUCCUUUGCGCUACCACCAACUUUUCCUGCUUCAUCCAUUGAAGAAGCAUCCUUGAAAUAGAAAAGGCUUAGGGACAAACCCUUGUAAUUUCCUGUGCAGAUGGUUGCAAGUUUAAUUUUAUGGGUUGCAGUAUGCAAUGGUUCUGUCCAAGAUGGUGAUUAUGAUAUAGGAAGGCAAAAAUCUUAAGCAAUCGUAUGAUUAACUUUGUUGGGAACUUAGCUCAAAACCGAGAGAAAAAUAGGACACGAGCCACCGCAGAGUUCUCAUUCUCAUUUAAUUGCUGCAAUGAAAUGAAUAUCAAGAUGCCACAGUUAAAGACUGUAAAAGAUGAGCUGAUGUUUACUGCUUGGUUUGGUUUGAAAGAGAGCAGGUUGAUGAUGAUUUAUGAAUAUGAAUCUGUCGAGUAAUUUUUCCAAAUGUCAAUCACUCGUCGUUUUCUGUAUAAAAAAAGAUUGCCGCUUUUUAUGGCUUUAUGCAUGUCAAAUCCGAUCACCUCAUUUUGUUUC